ensembl:lncRNA
GUAUACACUCAGAGUAACAGCAGUACAGGUAUCCACUCAGAGUAACAGCAGUACAGGUAUCCACUCAGAGUAACAGCAGUACAGGUAUCCACUCAGAGUAACAGCAGUACAGGUAUCCACUCAGAGUAACAGCAGUACAGGUGUCCACUCAGUAACAGCAGUACAGGUAUCCACUCAGUAACAGCAGUACAGGUAUCCACUCAGAGUAACAGCAGUACAGGUAUCCACUCAGAGUAACAGCAGUACAGGUAUCCACUCAGAGUAACAGCAGUACAGGUAUCCACUCAGAGUAACAGCAGUACAGGUAUCCACUCAGUAACAGCAGUACAGGUAUCCACUCAGAGUAACAGCAGUACAGGUAUCCACUCAGUAACAGCAGUACAGGUAUCCACUCAGUAACAGCAGUACAGGUAUCCACUCAG